rnacentral:rRNA from 1 species
GUUAUAUGGUCAAGCGAAUAAGCGCACACGGUGGAUGCCUAGGCGGUCAGAGGCGAUGAAGGACGUGGUAGCCUGCGAAAAGUGUCGGGGAGCUGGCAACAAGCUUUGAUCCGGCAAUAUCCGAAUGGGGAAACCCACUGCUUCGGCAGUAUCCUGCAGUGAAUUCAUAGCUGCUGGAAGCGAACCCGGUGAACUGAAAUAUCUAAGUAACCGGAGGAAAAGAAAUCAACCGAGAUUCCCUAAGUAGUGACGAGCGAACGGGGAACAGCCCUUAAGCUGGAAUGGCUUUAGAAAAACAAUCUGGAAAGAUUGGCCAUAGAAGGUGAUAGCCCUGUAUUUAAAAGGGCCACUCCAGUGAAGACGAGUAGGGCGGGGCACGUGAAACCCUGUCUGAAUAUGGGGGGACCAUCCUCCAAGGCUAAAUACUCCUGACCGACCGAUAGUGAACCAGUACCGUGAGGGAAAGGCGAAAAGAACCCCGGAGAGGGGAGUGAAAUAGAUCCUGAAACCGUGUGCGUACAAGCAGUAGGAGCUCGCAAGAGUGACUGCGUACCUUUUGUAUAAUGGGUCAGCGACUUACUGUUCGUGGCAAGCUUAACCGUAUAGGGGAGGCGAAGGGAAACCGAGUCUGAUAAGGGCGCAUAGUCGCGGGCAGUAGACCCGAAACCGGGUGAUCUAGUCAUGGCCAGGGUGAAGGUGCCGUAACAGGUACUGGAGGCCCGAACCCACGUCUGUUGCAAAAGACGGGGAUGAGCUGUGAUUAGGAGUGAAAAGCUAAUCGAACCCGGAGAUAGCUGGUUCUCCUCGAAAGCUAUUUAGGUAGCGCCUCGGACGAAUACUACUGGGGGUAGAGCACUGUUAUGGCUAGGGGGUCAUCGCGACUUACCAAACCAUUGCAAACUCCGAAUACCAGUACGUACUAUCCGGGAGACACACGGCGGGUGCUAACGUCCGUCGUGAAAAGGGAAACAACCCAGACCCACAGCUAAGGUCCCAAAUUCACUGCUAAGUGGAAAACGAUGUGGAAAGGCAUAGACAGCCAGGAGGUUGGCUUAGAAGCAGCCACCCUUUAAAGAAAGCGUAAUAGCUCACUGGUCGAGUCGGUCUGCGCGGAAGAUUUAACGGGGCUAAGCAGUGAACCGAAGCUUGGGGUGCAUAAAACUUGUUUUAUGCGCGGUAGAGGAGCGUUCCGUAAGCCUGCGAAGGUGGAUUGAGAAGUCUGCUGGAGGUAUCGGAAGUGCGAAUGCUGACAUGAGUAACGAUAAUGCGGGUGAAAAGCCCGCACGCCGAAAGCCCAAGGUUUCCUUGCGCAACGUUAAUCGACGCAGGGUUAGUCGGUCCCUAAGGCGAGGGCGAAAGCCGUAGUCGAUGGGAAGCAGGUUAAUAUUCCUGCACCUCGCGUGAGUGCGAUGGAGGGACGGAGAAGGUUAGGUGUACCGGGCGUUGGUUGUCCCGGGGAAAGGCGGUAGGUUUGGAUCUUUGGCAAAUCCGGGAUCCUUUAAGACCGAGCACCGAGACGAGCCUUUAUGGCGAAGUCACUGAUACCACGCUUCCAGGAAAAGCUCCUAAGCUUCAGCUCACGAAGACCGUACCGUAAACCGACACAGGUGGGUAGGAUGAGAAUUCUCAGGCGCUUGAGAGAACUCGGGUGAAGGAACUAGGCAACAUGGCACCGUAACUUCGGGAGAAGGUGCACCCUUUUUGGUGGCUCAUGCGAGCUAUAGCUGAAGAGGGUCGCAGAAACCAGGCCGCUGCGACUGUUUAUCAAAAACACAGCACUCUGCAAACACGAAAGUGGACGUAUAGGGUGUGACGCCUGCCCGGUGCUGGAAGGUUAAUUGAUGGGGUCAGCCGCAAGGCGAAGCUCUUGAUCGAAGCCCCAGUAAACGGCGGCCGUAACUAUAACGGUCCUAAGGUAGCGAAAUUCCUUGUCGGGUAAGUUCCGACCUGCACGAAUGGCGUAACGACAGCGGCGCUGUCUCCACCCGAGACUCAGUGAAAUUGAAAUCGCUGUGAAGAUGCAGCGUUCCCGUGGCAAGACGGAAAGACCCCGUGAACCUUUACUAUAGCUUUACACUGAACGUUGAGUUCGUCUGUGUAG